GACAGAGGGUGCAAACGUUGUUCGGAAUCACUGGGCGUAAAGCGUCCGCAGGUGGGUGUGUGUGUCGGAUGUGAAAGCCCAGGGCUCAACCCUGGAACUGCAUUCGAAACUGCACAUCUUGAGUACGGGAGAGGGAAGCAGAAUUCCUGGUGUAGAGGUGAAAUUCGUAGAUAUCAGGAGGAAUACCUGUGGCGAAAGCGGCUUCCUGGUCCGAUACUGACACUCAUGGACGAAAGCGCGGGGAGCAAACAGG
rnacentral:rRNA from 1 species